CUGUCGGCGUGCCUAAUACAUGCAAGUCGAACGAGUUCUUGUUGAUGAUCGGUGCUUGCACCAAGAUUCAACAUGGAACGAGUGGCGGACGGGUGAGUAACACGUGGGUAACCUGCCCUUAAGUGGGGGAUAACAUUUGGAAACAGAUGCUAAUACCGCAUAGAUCCAAGAACCGCAUGGUUCUUGGCUGAAAGAUGGCGUAAGCUAUCGCUUUUGGAUGGACCCGCGGCGUAUUAGCUAGUUGGUGAGGUAAUGGCUCACCAAGGCGAUGAUACGUAGCCGAACUGAGAGGUUGAUCGGCCACAUUGGGACUGAGACACGGCCCAAACUCCUACGGGAGGCAGCAGUAGGGAAUCUUCCACAAUGGACGCAAGUCUGAUGGAGCAACGCCGCGUGAGUGAAGAAGGCUUUCGGGUCGUAAAACUCUGUUGUUGGAGAAGAAUGGUCGGCAGAGUAACUGUUGUCGGCGUGACGGUAUCCAACCAGAAAGCCACGGCUAACUACGUGCCAGCAGCCGCGGUAAUACGUAGGUGGCAAGCGUUAUCCGGAUUUAUUGGGCGUAAAGCGAGCGCAGGCGGUUUUUUAAGUCUGAUGUGAAAGCCCUCGGCUUAACCGAGGAAGCGCAUCGGAAACUGGGAAACUUGAGUGCAGAAGAGGACAGUGGAACUCCAUGUGUAGCGGUGAAAUGCGUAGAUAUAUGGAAGAACACCAGUGGCGAAGGCGGCUGUCUGGUCUGUAACUGACGCUGAGGCUCGAAAGCAUGGGUAGCGAACAGGAUUAGAUACCCUGGUAGUCCAUGCCGUAAACGAUGAAUGCUAGGUGUUGGAGGGUUUCCGCCCUUCAGUGCCGCAGCUAACGCAUUAAGCAUUCCGCCUGGGGAGUACGACCGCGAGGUUGAAACUCAAAGGAAUUGACGGGGGCCCGCACAAGCGGUGGAGCAUGUGGUUUAAUUCGAAGCAACGCGAAGAACCUUACCAGGUCUUGACAUCUUUUGAUCACCUGAGAGAUCAGGUUUCCCCUUCGGGGGCAAAAUGACAGGUGGUGCAUGGUUGUCGUCAGCUCGUGUCGUGAGAUGUUGGGUUAAGUCCCGCAACGAGCGCAACCCUUAUGACUAGUUGCCAGCAUUUAGUUGGGCACUCUAGUAAGACUGCCGGUGACAAACCGGAGGAAGGUGGGGAUGACGUCAAAUCAUCAUGCCCCUUAUGACCUGGGCUACACACGUGCUACAAUGGAUGGUACAACGAGUUGCGAGACCGCGAGGUCAAGCUAAUCUCUUAAAGCCAUUCUCAGUUCGGACUGUAGGCUGCAACUCGCCUACACGAAGUCGGAAUCGCUAGUAAUCGCGGAUCAGCACGCCGCGGUGAAUACGUUCCCGGGCCUUGUACACACCGCCCGUCACACCAUGAGAGUUUGUAACACCCGAAGCCGGUGGCGUAACCCUUUUAGGGAGCGAGCCGUCUAAGGUGGGACAAAUGAUUAG
rnacentral:rRNA from 1 species